GAAGGGGAGAGGGAGACCAAGAGAGAGCAGGGAGAGAGAGAGAGAAGGGGGAGAGCUGACUGUCUCCGGUUGCAUCAUGACUGUAAGCACAUUGUCUGUCAGAGCUGGGACAGAGGCACCAGGGUUUACAGUCUGGUGGCACGGAGGGGCAGAACAUAGCAACCAGCACUGUGCCUUUCACAUACAGGUGGGGAGCCCAGAGGCCCAGCACUGCAGCCAGGUUGCUGUUGCCAGUGUUUCUACAUCUCCAAGCUGUGGUUCAGUGUAUUGGAACACGGCUGUAAAUUCAAGAUUCCAGAUAUGGAGACGGGGUCAGAUAAGUGCCCCUCCCUCUCCCCUCAGAAGAAAGUGGUGAAAAACAGGUCCAUGUCAACUGGGGAAAUCCAGCAAGCCAAAAAGGCCUUCCACACACCUCAGACGUCUCUUCCUGUGAAGUCAGACAUGGAGAGCCUGAAGGAAACUCCAGUGGGCUCAGACACACCGUCCUCAUUCUCUGAGGAGCUGAAAUGAAGCAUACGGGCUGAAUCUGUGCCAGGUUCCCCAGUCUGACAAGAGUUCCCAGGCUUUCUGCUGGUGGAGGAGUAUGUGGGAGGAUCUCCAGGUGGAUAUUGGAAUUUCAAUAUAUGAUUAUGGUCGGCGUCUUUUAUGUUUGUGUUUGAUUAAAAGGAAAAUGUGUUCGUUCAGAAGAGGUUUCCCAUACACUAACCUUCACUUGAGCAGAAUUCCUUUCCCUUUUUGUUUCACAGUUCAGCUGUAAAGUUUACCCAUUGUUUUUUUUCUGAGAUAGGGGUGCCACUCUUGAAGACUAAACCAAAAAAGCUGAUUUAAUAUUAAGCAAACAAUUGACAUGAUUGGGCACUCUUAUUUAUACAAGGCAUUUAGUCUUGCUCUAAGCCCAGGAUUGUCUUUCACUCACUUUUACUCACCUAGUUCCUCCCUGCCUGUAACCGUUACUAAAUGAUAAUAACUUCAAUAUUACUAAACACUUUUUUAUUGGCUGAACCUGCAACCAAUGGGAGACAUUCCUCAACUCAUUCUGUCACAAUUGCAACCAACAGACAUUCAGAAGCAUUCAUGAACACACAAAAAGAAGCACACACAACAGCAAAGACUGUCCUAAUUUGAACUGAACGUAAACAAGUUAUAAUGUAAUCUCACAGGAAAUAGAGACCUAAUCUCUCUGUGUCUCUCUACUUCUCAGUGAAUGUUAUAUUUAAUUGUAAAAGAGACAGGUAAUUAAUUAUGAUUCCUGAGCAUCAGAGGGCGGAGGAUCUGGGGUUAUGGAUCCCUCGAGGAAUUGAUUGAUUAUGUAAUGAUAAAUGUUACGCCGCACCGGCCAAUAUCAGAUUGUCUACAGAACACUAAAUGGCAUACUGUAACAAUCAAUAUCACAAUACACAGUAACCUAAUGCCCCUCUGUAUCAGAUUUGUCAACAGACAGGCACUAGGAUUUAAAUUAAUUUAUUUGGUGUUCAAUGUUUUUAAAAUCAUCAUAAAGAAUGCUUACACACACAAACUAAAAAUUUGAAUGUCACUGUGCUCAAACUUUUCUUGUUAUUUCCUCAUUUCUGAAAACAAUGAUAAGUGCUAUGUUACUGAAUUUGUUGAUUGUUCUUGAUUCUUGAUUACUUAUGUUUGAGGGGGUAAAUAUUGUUUUAUGUUCUGGGAUAUUUGCUUGCAGUAAUAUUUAGCUGUGAUAAAAAAAUAUUUUUUUGAUUUUCUCUCUGGUGCCUGUGUGAACUCUAUCCAUCCACAGCAUGGCUUAAAAUUCUUGGAAACCCAUGGGCAUGUUAAAUCAUGGAAAAGGUGCGGUUUGGAUGGUUAUAAAUUGCCUGAAUUCACA